GACGAACGCUGGCGGCGUGCUUAACACAUGCAAGUCGAACGGAAAGACCCUGCUUUUGUGGGGUGCUCGAGUGGCGAACGGGUGUGUAACACGUGAGUAACCUGCCCUUAUCUUUGGGAUAUCUUCAGGAAACUGGGGAUAAUACAGGAUAGGAGCUCCUGCAGCACGGUGGGGGUUGGAAAGUUUCGGCGGUUGGGGAUGGACUCGCGGCUUAUGAGCUUGUUGGUGGGGUAGUGGCUGUCAAAGGCUUUGACGGGUAGGCGGCCUGGGAGGGUGACCGGCCACAAUGGGACUGAGAUACGGACCAGACUCCUACGGGAGGCAGCAGGGGGGAAUAUUGCACAAUGGGCGGAAGCCUGAUGCAGCAACGCCGCGUGCGGAAUGACGGGCUUCGGGGUGUAAACCGCUGUCGCCUGUGACGAAGCGGGAGUGACGGUAAUGGGUAAAGAAGCACCGGCUAACUACGUG
rnacentral:rRNA from 1 species